rnacentral:rRNA from 1 species
UACGUAGGGGGCAAGCGUUGUCCGGAUUUAUUGGGCGUAAAGAGCGUGUAGGCGGCCAGAUAGGUCAGCUGUGAAAACUCGAGGCUCAACCUCGAGAUGUCGGCUGAAACCAUCUGGCUAGAGUCCGGAAGAGGAGAGUGGAAUUCCUGGUGUAGACGGUGAAAUGCGCAGGAUAUCAGGAAGAACACCCGUGGCGAAGGCGGCUCUCUGGGACGGUACUGACGCUGGAGACGCGAAAGCGUGGGGAGCGAACAGG